rnacentral:tRNA from 1 species
CCUUCGAUAGCUCAGUUGGUAGAGCGGUGGACUGUAGAGAUAAAAAUAUAUUAGAAAUAAAUUGUUAGUUAUCCAUAGGUCGCUGGUUCAACUCCGGCUCGAAGGA